rnacentral:rRNA from 1 species
AUUGAACGCUGGCGGCAGGCCUAACACAUGCAAGUCGAACGGUAACAGGAAGAAGCUUGCUUCUUUGCUGACGAGUGGCGGACGGGUGAGUAAUGUCUGGGAAACUGCCUGUUGGAGGGGGAUAACUACUGGAAACGGUAGCUAAUACCGCAUAACGUCGCAAGACCAAAGAGGGGGACCUUCGGGCCUCUUGCCAUCGGAUGUGCCCAGAUGGGAUUAGCUAGUAGGUGGGGUAACGGCUCACCUAGGCGACGAUCCCUAGCUGGUCUGAGAGGAUGACCAGCCACACUGGAACUGAGACACGGUCCAGACUCCUACGGGAGGCAGCAGUGGGGAAUAUUGCACAAAGGGCGCAAGCCUGAUGCAGCCAUGCCGCGUGUAUGAAGAAGGCCUUCGGGUUGUAAAGUACUUUCAGCGGGGAGGAAGGGAGUAAAGUUAAUACCUUUGCUCAUUGACGUUACCCGCAGAAGAAGCACCGGCUAACUCCGUG